GUAGGGUGCGAGCGUUAAUCGGAAUUACUGGGCGUAAAGCGUGCGCAGGCGGUUCGCUAAGACCGAUGUGAAAUCCCCGGGCUUAACCUGGGAACUGCAUUGGUGACUGGCGGGCUAGAGUAUGGCAGAGGGGGGUAGAAUUCCACGUGUAGCAGUGAAAUGCGUAGAGAUGUGGAGGAAUACCGAUGGCGAAGGCAGCCCCCUGGGCCAAUACUGACGCUCAUGCACGAAAGCGUGGGGGGAGCAAACAGGAUUAGAUACCCUGGUAGUCCACGCCCUAAACGAUGUCAACUAGUUGUCGGGUCUUCAUUGACUUGGUAACGUAGCUAACGCGUGAAGUUGACCGCCUGGGAUACGGUCGCAAGAUUA
rnacentral:rRNA from 1 species